rnacentral:tRNA from 1 species
GCGGGGGUGGCCGAGCCAGGUCAAAGACAAAACAAGGGGCUCGAUCAAAGGCGGCGGACUCAAGAUCCGCUGGCGUAGGCCUACGUGGGUUCAAAUCCCACCCCCCGCACCA